rnacentral:lncRNA from 1 species
UUCUUUAAUUAAAUUUCAUCCAAUAUAUUUUCAUCCACAUCUAAUUCAAACUAAUCCUAAUUAAAUUCAUCCACUCUCUAUCCUAAAUACUCACCAAGUACAAGGUUGUUGAAUAGAUGGAGAUUUUGAACAUAGUUCACAGCACGGCAAAGGAACAUUCUAAGCGCAUGUAGAGGUCGACGUCCACAAUCUUCCGCCAUUGCAGUUUUAUCCUUGCCACUCUCCUAGC